rnacentral:rRNA from 1 species
AGCGAACGCUGGCGGCAGGCUUAACACAUGCAAGUCGAGCGCCCGUAGCAAUACGGGAGCGGCAGACGGGAGAGUAACACGUGGGAACAUGCCCUUCGGUUCGGAAUAACUCAGGGAAACUUGAGCUAAUACCGGAUACGUCCGUAAGGAGAAAGAUUUAUCGCCGAAGGAUUGGCCCGCGUCCGAUUAGCUUGUUGGUGAGGUAAUGGCUCACCAAGGCGACGAUCGGUAGCUGGUCUGAGAGGAUGAUCAGCCUCACUGGACUGAGACACGGCCCAGACUCCUACGGGAGGCA